rnacentral:rRNA from 1 species
GUAGAACGCUGAAGAGAGGAGCUUGCUCUUCUUGGAUGAGUUGCGAACGGGUGAGUAACGCGUAGGUAACCUGCCUUGUAGCGGGGGAUAACUAUUGGAAACGAUAGCUAAUACCGCAUAACAAUGGAUGACACAUGUCAUUUAUUUGAAAGGGGCAAUUGCUCCACUACAAGAUGGACCUGCGUUGUAUUAGCUAGUAGGUGAGGUAACGGCUCACCUAGGCGACGAUACAUAGCCGACCUGAGAGGGUGAUCGGCCACACUGGGACUGAGACACGGCCCAGACUCCUACGGGAGGCAGCAGUAGGGAAUCUUCGGCAAUGGGGGCAACCCUGACCGAGCAACGCCGCGUGAGUGAAGAAGGUUUUCGGAUCGUAAAGCUCUGUUGUAAGUCAAGAACGAGUGUGAGAGUGGAAAGUUCACACUGUGACGGUAGCUUACCAGAAAGGGACGGCUAACUACGUGCCAGCAGCCGCGGUAAUACGUAGGUCCCGAGCGUUGUCCGGAUUUAUUGGGCGUAAAGCGAGCGCAGGCGGUUUGAUAAGUCUGAAGUUAAAGGCUGUGGCUCAACCAUAGUUCGCUUUGGAAACUGUCAAACUUGAGUGCAGAAGGGGAGAGUGGAAUUCCAUGUGUAGCGGUGAAAUGCGUAGAUAUAUGGAGGAACACCGGUGGCGAAAGCGGCUCUCUGGUCUGUAACUGACGCUGAGGCUCGAAAGCGUGGGGAGCGAACAGGAUUAGAUACCCUGGUAGUCCACGCCGUAAACGAUGAGUGCUAGGUGUUGGAUCCUUUCCGGGAUUCAGUGCCGCAGCUAACGCAUUAAGCACUCCGCCUGGGGAGUACGACCGCAAGGUUGAAACUCAAAGGAAUUGACGGGGGCCCGCACAAGCGGUGGAGCAUGUGGUUUAAUUCGAAGCAACGCGAAGAACCUUACCAGGUCUUGACAUCCCGAUGCUAUUUCUAGAGAUAGAAAGUUACUUCGGUACAUCGGUGACAGGUGGUGCAUGGUUGUCGUCAGCUCGUGUCGUGAGAUGUUGGGUUAAGUCCCGCAACGAGCGCAACCCCUAUUGUUAGUUGCCAUCAUUCAGUUGGGCACUCUAGCGAGACUGCCGGUAAUAAACCGGAGGAAGGUGGGGAUGACGUCAAAUCAUCAUGCCCCUUAUGACCUGGGCUACACACGUGCUACAAUGGUUGGUACAACGAGUUGCGAGUCGGUGACGGCAAGCUAAUCUCUUAAAGCCAAUCUCAGUUCGGAUUGUAGGCUGCAACUCGCCUACAUGAAGUCGGAAUCGCUAGUAAUCGCGGAUCAGCACGCCGCGGUGAAUACGUUCCCGGGCCUUGUACACACCGCCCGUCACACCACGAGAGUUUGUAACACCCGAAGUCGGUGAGGUAACCUUUUGGAGCCAGCCGCCUA